AUACGGAGGGUGCAAGCGUUACUCGGAAUCACUGGGCGUAAAGCGCGCGCAGGCGGCUUGAUAAGUUGGAUGUGAAAGCCUACGGCUCAACCGUAGAACUGCAUCCAAAACUGUCAGGCUAGAGUGUGGGAGAGGAAGAUGGAAUUAGCUGUGUAGGGGUAAAAUCCGUAGAGAUAACUAGGAAUACCAAAAGCGAAGGCAAUCUUCUGGAACACUACUGACGCUGAGGCGCGAAGGCGUGGGGAGCAAACAGGAUUAGAAACCCUAGUAGUCC
rnacentral:rRNA from 1 species